UCUAGUGGCGGACGGGUGAGUAACGCGUGAGUAACCUGCCUUGGAGUGGGGAAUAACACAGUGAAAAUUGUGCUAAUACCGCAUAAUGCAUUUGGAUCGCAUGAUUCUGAAUGCCAAAGAUUUAUCGCUCUGAGAUGGACUCGCGUCUGAUUAGCUAGUUGGCGGGGCAACGGCCCACCAAGGCGACGAUCAGUAGCCGGACUGAGAGGUUGGCCGGCCACAUUGGGACUGAGACACGGCCCAGACUCC
rnacentral:rRNA from 1 species